rnacentral:tRNA from 3 species
GCUGGCGUAGCUCAGUGGUAGAGCUGGGGUUUUGUAAACCUCAGGUCGGGGGUUCGAAUCCCUCCGCCAGCU